rnacentral:rRNA from 1 species
AGACCCGAAACCCGGUGAUCUAGCCAUGGGCAGGUUGAAGGUUGGGUAACACUAACUGGAGGACCGAACCGACUAAUGUUGAAAAAUUAGCGGAUGACCUGUGGCUGGGGGUGAAAGGCCAAUCAAACCGGGAGAUAGCUGGUUCUCCCCGAAAGCUAUUUAGGUAGCGCCUCGUGAACUCAUCUCCGGGGGUAGAGCACUGUUUCGGCUAGGGGGCCAUCCCGGCUUACCAACCCGAUGCAAACUGCGAAUACCGGAGAAUGUUAUCACGGGAGACACACGGCGGGUGCUAACGUCCGUCGUGAAGAGGGAAACAACCCAGACCGCCAGCUAAGGUCCCAAAGUCAUGGUUAAGUGGGAAACGAUGUGGGAAGGCCCAGACAGCCAGGAUGUUGGCUUAGAAGCAGCCAUCAUUUAAAGAAAGCGUAAUAGCUCACUGGUCGAGUCGGCCUGCGCGGAAGAUGUAACGGGGCUAAACCAUGCACCGAAGCUGCGGCAGCGAACGUAUCACUUAAAACGAUUCAGAAGCUUACGAUUGACGGAGCGAAGCGACGUCAAAGCGUAUACAAAGUCGAGUCGGUUUA